CAAUAGCGUAUAUUUAAGUUGUUGCAGUUAAAAAGCUCGUAGUCGGAUUUUGGCUGAGAACGAUCGGUCCGCCGUUAGGUGUGCACUGAUUGGUCUCAGCUUCCUGGUGAGGAGGUGUGCUUCACGGCCACUUAGUCACCGUGGUUACUUUGAAAAAAUUAGAGUGUUCAAAGCGGGCUUACGCUUGAAUAUAUUAGCAUGGAAUAACACCAUAGGACUCCUGUCCUAUUUCGUUGGUCACGGGACGGGAGUAAUGAUUAAGAGGAACAGUUGGGGGCAUUCGUAUUUCAUUGUCAGAGGUGAAAUUCUUGGAUUUACGAAAGACGAACUUCUGCGAAAGCAUUUGCCAAGGAUGUUUUCAUUGA
rnacentral:rRNA from 1 species